rnacentral:lncRNA from 1 species
AGCUGUGACAUUGCGCCGAGGCUCUGAAGUGGGUAAUUGCAGACCACAGCUAGGCUGGAAUGCUGUGUUUGGGGUGGUCAUUAGAGUCGUGGUCUCUUUAGCGUUAUGAAGCCUACCUUGACUCCUAGGUGUUCAUUGUGAAUCUUGUUGGUGCUGGUAUCGCUGUACCUCUCAAAUAGCUUCCCCAUUUUGACUAAGAAUGAAGAACUUCUUGGACAAAGAACUUGUAAAAAUCAGGUUGGAUGUCACUGAGGAUAGUCACUGACAUGGAUUACAAACACUGUGGACUCUGCCCCACCCCUAUCUUUAAAUUCUGAACCUGCCCUGUAGAAUAUUGGUUGGAGCCGUGCAAGACAAUGGAAGCAAGCUUGGCAAUCA